GGAAUAAUGCUGGUAUUUUCUCUGCGUUUGGGAAAAGAAAGCCUCAAAUGAAAUUGGACCAGUACUAGCAAUUGGACCAGUACUAGCAGCUUAUAAAAUGUCUGAAAAUGUAAGCUUCUUCCUCAGAAUCUGCACAAAAGUCAGCUUUCCUUCACUAGCCAUCACGUCUCAUUUUAACUGCUUUAAAAAUAAACCCAAUUAUAUGGUAAUGUAUUAAAUUACUAUUAAUGCAUUUUUACUGUUAAUUUUCAUUUGAAAUAUAGUGUGUCAGUGGCAUCAAAAGUUAAUUUUGCAAUUUGUAUCUGACCUAAGAAUCUAACCACAAUAUCUAACAUUAAUUUUUUUUUGGAAAACAGAAUCAGUUACAAGUAGACUUUUAAUAUAUAAUACUUUGCAUUAGUUAGUUGGGGUCUCCCUUCUGCGAAAUUAAGAAUGUGAUAUUUUUGUUUUUAAGAAUUUUCCAGCUCAUAUGAAGAGGUGAUCUCUCAAAUAAAUACGUCAUUACCUGCUCCCCACAGUUGGCCUCUUUUGGAAUGGCAACGGCAGAGACAUCACUGUCCAGGGCUAUCAGGAAGGAUAACGUAUUCUCCAGAAAACCUUUGCAGAAAACUGUUCUUACAACAUGAAGGACUUAAGCAAUUAAUAUGUGAAGAAAUGGACUCUGUCAGAAAGGGCUCACUGAUCUUCUCUAGGAGCUGGUCUGUGGAUCUGGGCUUGCAAGAGAACCACAAAGUCCUCUGUGAUGCUCUUCUGAUUUCCCAGGACAGUCCUCCAGUCCUAUACACCUUCCACAUGGUACAGGAUGAGGAGUUUAAAGGCUAUUCUACACAAACUGCCCUAACCUUAAAGCAGAAGCUGGCAAAAAUUGGUGGUUACACUAAAAAAGUGUGUGUCAUGACAAAGAUCUUCUACUUGAGCCCUGAAGGCAUGACAAGCUGCCAGUAUGAUUUAAGGUCGCAAGUAAUUUACCCUGAAUCCUACUAUUUUACAAGAAGGAAAUACUUGCUGAAAGCCCUUUUUAAAGCCUUAAAGAGACUCAAGUCUCUGAGAGACCAGUUUUCCUUUGCAGAAAAUCUAUACCAGAUAAUCGGUAUAGAUUGCUUUCAGAAGAAUGAUAAAAAG
rnacentral:sRNA from 1 species